rnacentral:rRNA from 1 species
AUACGGAGGGUGCAAGCGUUACUCGGAAUCACUGGGCGUAAAGCGCGCGCAGGCGGGCUGAUAAGUUGGGUGUGAAAGCCUACGGCUCAACCGUAGAACUGCAUCCAAAACUGUCAGUCUAGAGUGUGGGAGAGGAAGAUGGAAUUAGUUGUGUAGGGGUAAAACCCGUAGAGAUAACUAGGAAUACCAAAAGCGAAGGCAAUCUUCUGGAACACUACUGACGCUGAGGCGCGAAGGCGUGGGGAGCAAACAGGAUUAGAAACCCCAGUAGUCC